rnacentral:lncRNA from 10 species
GUUUUUUGUCAUUUGCUUGAGGUAAUGGGGAAGCAAUAUUUGUUCCUCUCUCAUUCUAGAAGAAGUCAUCUACCAGGUUGUGAGGACAUACAAACAGCCUUUGGAGAGGCCCACGUGGGAAGAAACAGAUCUCUCAUUAACUACCAGCACCACCUUGCCAGCCUUGUGACUGUAUCUCCUUGAAAGUAGACCUUCCACCUGCAGUCAAUUUUGAUGUUGCAGCCCCAGCUGACAUCUUGACUACAGCCUCACGAGAUGCACUGGGCCAGAACCUCCCAGCUCCGCCAUUCCAGAAUUCAUGAUCUACACAAACCGUUUGGCUUCUAAAAAAGGAAGUCAGCCUGGAUUGCUGACCCUUCUUCCAUUUGUUGGAGAGUUACCUCUGAUGAGAGAAUGUUCACGGAGAAAUUAUCCUGUGUAUGUUUACACACACACACACACACACACACACACACACACACACACUCUAGACAUUCAC